rnacentral:rRNA from 1 species
UACGGAGGGUGCAAGCGUUAUCCGGAUUCACUGGGUUUAAAGGGAGCGUAGGCGGGCAGGUAAGUCAGUGGUGAAAUCUCCAAGCUUAACCUGGAAACUGCCGUUGAUACUAUCUGUCUUGAAUAUCGUGAAGGUAAGCGGAAUAUGUCAUGUAGCGGUGAAAUGCUUAGAUAUGACAUAGAACACCAAUUGCGAAGGCAGCUUACUACACAAAUAUUGACGCUGAGGCACGAAAGCGUGGGGAUCAAACAGG